AUUGAACGCUGGCGGCAGGCCUAACACAUGCAAGUCGAGCGGAUGAAGGGAGCUUGCUCCUGGAUUCAGCGGCGGACGGGUGAGUAAUGCCUAGGAAUCUGCCUGGUAGUGGGGGAUAACGUCCGGAAACGGGCGCUAAUACCGCAUACGUCCUGAGGGAGAAAGUGGGGGAUCUUCGGACCUCACGCUAUCAGAUGAGCCUAGGUCGGAUUAGCUAGUUGGUGGGGUAAAGGCCUACCAAGGCGACGAUCCGUAACUGGUCUGAGAGGAUGAUCAGUCACCCUGGAACUGGGACACGGUCCAGACUCCUACGGGAGGCAGCAGUGGGGAAUAUUGGACAAUGGGCGAAAGCCUGAUCCAGCCAUGCCGCGUGUGUGAAGAAGGUCUUCGGAUUGUAAAGCCCUUUAAGUUGGGAGGAAGGGCAGUAAGUUAAUACCUUGCUGUUUUGACGUUACCAACAGAAUAAGCACCGGCUAACUUCGUG
rnacentral:rRNA from 1 species